AAUGUUCAGAAGAACACAAGGGGAGCCAAACCCUAGUUUUGAAAGAUCUUUAAAUUGAAGGGUGAAUCGAAGCUCAAACCUAUAAAUGAACAUGAAUUAAUGAUCACCUACACAAGGGGAUCAUGAGGGAUCAUGUCAAGAUGGAUGGAAGCAUGGAAGGCUAAAGGGUCAAAAGGAAGCAAGGAAACGGAUACGAAUAAAACGUUUAAGGUUGCACGGAAUUAAUAUCAUUGUGGAGAUUAAGAGGUUGAAGAUCGAGUCGAAGAGCAAGGAUUGUACGGGAAGAGCGGUCUCAUAGCUUGUAUUUAUGGUAUCACAUUUAACGCGUUAAUCAAGAAUGAAUGUUGUAAAUCCUUUCAAGAAGUGUCCGACAGAUUAUAAAUGAACCUUUAAGUAUGUCAUAUAGACAAUAUAAGAAAGAAUUUUUUAGUCGGU